GUGCAGCAUGUGCCUUUUAGCGUUUUUGGCAAAACCAGACAAUGCUGCAUCGAAACAUGCCAGUCUGUAACCUUUUACUGAGUGGGGCCAUCCACUUUACAGGUUGCAUAGCUACCCAGACCUUCAGGAUGCUAAAACUCUUUGGCCUUCAGAGCAUAAGCGUAGACACCUUUUUCCGCCACCAGCGGUUGUACACAAUACCUACCAUUGUGCAUGCGUGGCAGAAUGAACAGGAAAGGGUCAUUCGAGACCUGAAUGAGAUGAGUGGUGGCCUGAUCCUGUCUGGUGACUGCAGAUCAGAUUCUCCUGGCCGUUGUGCUAAAUAUGGCACAUACUCUUUGAUUGAGGACAGAAUUAACAAGGUUUUAGACAUUCAACUUGUCCAGAGCUCUGAGGUUCCAAGUAGCUCUUGGUGUGAGCUGGAAGGUCUAAAGCGCAGCAUAAGGUUUUUGAAUGAGAAACGCAUGCAUGUGUCAGCCCUCAUCACAGACAGAAAUCGCCAGGUCUAGGGAAGGCUUUGGAUGCUGCUGCAAAGGAUAGAGAGUGUAAAGAUUUAAAGCUGUGGAGGCCAGCUGUAAUUAAUCACCUCUACUGGACUGCAGCCUCCACUCCUAAUGGAGAUGCAGAUGUGAUGGAGGCCAAGUGGAAAAGUAUGGUCAACCACACAACAGUCCUGUGUUCCCCUGCUGUGCACAUCCACCUCUGGAAGGGGAAGCAAGGAACAAGGAGUGGCUGGAACCAGGAUCAACAGUAGCAGUUAAACUGGAGUGUGUGGCCAUGAGACAAGCACUGGUUAAGGAUAUUCAGCAGCUGUCACCACAGCAUCAGACAUUUUCACUGGAGGCAUUUCACUCCCUUAUCCUGCACUUUGCACCUAAGCACACUGGAUUCUCCUUCCUUGGGAUGUACAGCAGACUUCUCCUGGCAGCCAUGCACUUUAACCACAAUGGUAGCAGAGAAGUUGCUCGAACCAGUGAUGGUGAGCUGUGUUACGCGGUUCGAUACCCAAGGUUCCGCAAAGGUGGCUGGGUAGUCCGUCCUGUUAAGGAAAAACCAUCAUACGCAUAUGCAUCAGCCCUCAUGGAGUCUCUGACAGUGGAAUACUCGAGGUCACCACAGGCUUUACGAGAGCGAAGCAGUUCUUUGUUAUCAAGUUGUCCUGCGCCCCUUUCCAGAUCCCUCCAGAGGAUUAACAAAAAAGAGGCUGGUGGAGUGUAUCUGGCACAGCAUUCACGUUUUAGCAAACAUUAAAUAUUUUAAUGUAGACAUUAGCAUGUCUUUAAAGUAUUUAUUAAAAACAUUUAAGUGCUGUUUAACAAUUAAACAUUUUUAAUUAAGAUAAUUCUAUUUUUUAACUAACAAGAUUUUACAAAAUAAUUAAUAGUAGAAUAAAAACAAAAUUCAAGCAAUGUCUUUUUUCUGUUACUGAAAAAGGUAAUACAAUUCAAAGGAGGGCUUAUCAUUUCUACUGUAUGACAGUUACAAUGCUGUGCUUUGAGUUGGGUUAUAACUAAAAAUAUUUCCAAUGAUUUUGCACCAUAUGAAUAACACUUGAAUUAGGGUCGAUAAGACUUGAAUUAUACGAACCUAUACAGAUUUGUUUAUUUAAUCUUUGACAUUUUACACAGUGAGACAUCUUGUAUUUUUAUUGAUUGUCACCAAAUUGGGGCCAUUCAAAACCUUUGUAAACUCCUCCCUCUGCUGGAAACUGUCGUCUGAUAGCUGAAACAACACAUGCAGGUAAGGGCUUCCUGAUGUGUCUGCCCAGAAUGCCAUAGGCCCAGCGGACAACUUGUCUAUAUGCUGUGUAGUGGUAUUGUCUAGAGUUAAGGACAAAGUGUCAAUACUGGUUAUCUUGUGCUGUUAGCAAAUAAACAAAAACAAGCAUUA